CCUACGGGCGGCAGCAGUGGGGAAUAUUGGGCAAUGGGCGCAAGCCUGACCCAGCAACGCCGCGUGAAGGAAGAAGGCUUUCGGGUUGUAAACUUCUUUUGUCAGGGACGAAGCAAGUGACGGUACCGGACGAAUAAGCCACGGCUAACUACGUGCCAGCAGCCGCGGUAAGACGUAGGUGGCACGCGUUAUCCGGAUUUACUGGGUGUAAAGGGCGUGUAGGCGGGACUGCAAGUCAGAUGGGAAAACCACGGGCUCAACCGGUGGCCUGCAUUUGAAACGGUAGUUCUUGAGUACUGGAGAGGCAGACGGAAUUCCUAGUGUAGCGGUGACAUGCGUAGAUAUUAGGAGGAACCCCAGUGGCGAAGGCGGUCUGCUGGACAGCACCUGACGCUGAGGCGCGAAAGCGUGGGGAGCAAACAGGAUUAGAUACCCGGGUAGUC
rnacentral:rRNA from 1 species